GACGAACGCUGGCGGCGUGCUUAACACAUGCAAGUCGAACGGAAAGGCCCUUCUGUGGGUAGUUGCGCGACGCACGGGUGAGUAAGAAGUGCGUAACCAGCCCUCGAUUUCCGGAUAGCUACCGGAAGCUGACGCUAGUACAGGAUAGGUAUCAUCGCUGCAUGGUGGGUGUUGGAAAGCAACUGGGGUCUUGGAUGGAUUCGCGGCCUAUCAGCUUGUUGGUGGGGUAGUUGCUUACCAAGGCUUUGACGGGUAGCCCGCCUGAGGGGGAGAACGGCCACAAUUGGACUGGGGUACGGCCCAGACGCCUACGGGAGGCAACAGGUGGGAAUAUUGCACAAUGGGCGGGAGUCUGAUGCGACAACGCCCGGGUCGGGAAGACCGGCUUUGGGUUGGAAACCGCUUUCAGCAUGGGCGAAGCUUGUGGUGACGGUACCUGCAGAAGAAGCACCGGCUAACUACGUG
rnacentral:rRNA from 1 species